rnacentral:rRNA from 1 species
UAGGGAAUCUUCCGCAAUGGGCGAAAGCCUGACAGAGCAACGCCGCGUGAGUGAUGAAGGUCUUCGGAUCGUAAAACUCUGUUAUUAGGGAAGAACAAAUGUGUAAGUAACUAUGCACGUCUUGACGGUACCUAAUCAGAAAGCCACGGCUAACUACGUGCCAGCAGCCGCGGUAAUACGUAGGUGGCAAGCGUUAUCCGGAAUUAUUGGGCGUAAAGCGCGCGUAGGCGGUUUUUUAAGUCUGAUGUGAAAGCCCACGGCUCAACCGUGGAGGGUCAUUGGAAACUGGAAAACUUGAGUGCAGAAGAGGAAAGUGGAAUUCCAUGUGUAGCGGUGAAAUGCGCAGAGAUAUGGAGGAACACCAGUGGCGAAGGCGACUUUCUGGUCUGUAACUGACGCUGAUGUGCGAAAGCGUGGGGAUCAAACAGG